ensembl:lncRNA
GGGAGAAGAGAGGGAUAGACAGGAGAAGUGAAGGAGGAAUAGAGGGAUAGAGGGUUAAAUGGGAGAAGAGAGGGAGGGAUUGAGGAGAGUAGGGAAGGGGGAAUAGAGGGAUAGAGGGAUAGAGGAGUAGAGGGGAGAAAAGAGGGAAAGAGGUAUAGAAGGGAGAAGAGAGUGAGGGAUAGAGGGGAGAAGAGAAGGAAGGAUAGAGGAAUAGAGGAAUCAAGAAUUAGAGGAAUAGACGGGAGACGAGAAGAAGAGAGAGGGGAGAAGAGAAGGAGGGAUAGCGGGGAGAAGAGAGAGGAAUAGAGGGAUAGAGGGGAGAAGUGAAGGAGGAAUAGAGGGAUAGAGGAGUGAAGAGAAGGAGUGAUUGAGGAAUAGAGGAAUAGAGGGGAGAAGAGAGGGAGGGAUAGAGUGAUAAAGGGGAGAAGAAGAGGGAUAGACGGGAGAAGAGAAGGAGGGAUAGAGGAGAGAAGAGAAGGAGGGAUGGAGGAAUAGAGGAAUGGACAGGAGAAGAGAAGGAGAGAUAAUGGGGAGAAGAGAGGGAGGGAUGGAGGGAUGGACGGGAGAAGAGAAGGAGAGAUAACGGGGAGAAGAGAGAGAGGAAUAGAGGGAUAGAGGGGAGAAGAGGGGGAGGAAGAGAUGGAUAGAGGGAUAAAGGGGAGAACAGAGGGAGGGAUUGAGGAAUAGAAGAGAGAAGAGAGAGAGGGGUAGAGAGGAGAAAAGAGGGAGGGAUAGAGGGAUCGAGGAAUAGAGGGAUAGACAGGAGAAGAGAAGGAGGGAUAGAGGGGAGAAAAGAGGGAGGGAUUGAGGAAUAGAGGGAUAGAGGGGAGAACAGAGGGAGGGAUUGAGGAGAGAAGAGAGGGAGGGAUUGAGGAAUAGAGGAAUAAAGGAGAGAAAAGUGGGAGGGAUAGAGAGUGGAAGAGAGGGAGGAAUAGAGGGAUAGAGGGAUAGACGGGAGAACAUAGGGAGGGAUAGAAAGGAGAGGGAGGAAUAGAGGGAUAGAGGGGAGAAGAAAAGGAGGGAUUGAGGAAUAGGGGGAUAGAGGGGAGAAAUGAGGGAAAGAGGUAUAGAGGGGAGAAGAGAGGGAGGAAUGGAGGUGAUAGAGGGAUAGAGGAGAGAAAAGGGGGAGGGAGAGAGGGAUGGUGGAAUAGACGGAUAGAGGGGAGAAGAGUGGGAGAGAUAGAGGGAUAGAGGGGAGAAGAGAGGGAUAGACAGGAGAAGUGAAGGAGGAAUAGAGGGAUAGAGGGGAAAAG